AAGAAAGUGAGAAAUAGGACUCAGCGAUAAAACUCUAUCAAUAUAUAUCACGAUAAACAUGUAAUUGAUGUUAAUGCAUUCAAUUUUUUGUUGUUGUUUUUUUCCAGAUGAACUCGGAAGUUGCUAAGCAAGGUCGGUUGCAUGAACAAAGGCACUCGCUCUCUGGUAACCAAGCAACGCAGGAAGUGAUCACUGACCAGCGGGAGUGACAGGCUAACAGCCAAUCAGUUUCAGAAAUUCCUCAGUAAAAUUCACCAAGACGUCACUGUGGAGUUAUUGAGUCUGUUCAGCUGAUUGGAGAGCUAGCUUCCGCAGCUAGUGGGUCCAUGACGAUGACUUCUGUUUUGUUCGAUCAGCCGUUUUACUGCCGUGUUACAGACACCGUUUGGAAACAAUUAAGGACUUCAACGGCGGUGCUGUACCUGGUUGUGCUGCCAAAGCCACAUGACAUCAUAUGGCAACUGGAAAUGGAUCCUCUUCAGCCUCAAGUACUUCCCUGCGAGACACAAGAGGAGUCGGGAUGAGAGCGUUCCAAACCUGACGGCCACACUUUGGCCUCGUGUCGACUCACCAACAUGGAUGG